rnacentral:rRNA from 1 species
UAUUGGACAAUGGGCGAAAGCCUGAUCCAGCAAUGCCGCGUGAGUGAUGAAGGCCUUAGGGUUGUAAAGCUCUUUUACCCGGGAUGAUAAUGACAGUACCGGGAGAAUAAGCUCCGGCUAACUCCGUGCCAGCAGCCGCGGUAAUACGGAGGGAGCUAGCGUUGUUCGGAAUUACUGGGCGUAAAGCGCACGUAGGCGGCUUUGUAAGUUAGAGGUGAAAGCCUGGAGCUCAACUCCAGAAUUGCCUUUGAUACUGCAUCGCUUGAAUCCAGGAGAGGUGAGUGGAAUUCCGAGUGUAGAGGUGAAAUUCGUAGAUAUUCGGAAGAACACCAGUGGCGAAGGCGGCUCACUGGACUGGUAUUGACGCCGAGGUGCGAAA